UACGGAGGGGGCUAGCGUUGUUCGGAAUUACUGGGCGUAAAGCGCACGUAGGCGGCUUUGCAAGUCAAAGGUGAAAGCCCGGGGCUCAACCCCGGAAUUGCCUUUGAGACUGCAUCGCUAGAAUUGUGGAGAGGUAAGUGGAAUUCCGAGUGUAGAGGUGAAAUUCGUAGAUAUUCGGAAGAACACCAGUGGCGAAGGCGACUUACUGGACACAUAUUGACGCUGAGGUGCGAAAGCGUGGGGAGCAAACAGG
rnacentral:rRNA from 1 species